UCCAUUGGCAUUUUAAAUGUUUCUCUGAACUCUGACUGAUGCGGUGAUUGACAUUUUGCGGUCCUUUUUAUUCUUCAUUUGUCCAUAUGAGGGUUUGGAAGUUUGUCUAUGUACAAUGAUGAGUGACGUCUUCUGCAUUCUUCAUUAUGCUAACUGUUCAUGCAUACACAGUCUUGGGUUGAACUCAAGCCCAAAAACUAGUUGUUGAAGUGAGGGUGUCCUCAUGCUUAGAUACCUCAUAUACUUAGGUACCCGGGCAAUGUGGGACUUUGCUUAACACCCUCCCUCGUGCGCAACAUGUUCACUCGGCAGCAACUGCCAAUGAAAUCAGACUAUUGAUUCCUCCCACUUUGUGCAUAUAUGUUUAUUACCAACCAGUUUCAUAUGUGUAACAAGGGUUAUCGACAAUAGAGGGAAGGAAAAGCAAAAGGAAAAAGAUUUCGGGUAUUCUUGCCAUCAAAAUUCUUUUUCCUUUUCGUUAGUUUUCAUUUGUUUAGUUCAUAAUAAAUGAUUAUUCAGAUAUAAGAGUGUUCUUAUUCUCAUACAUAAAUAGGUGUAUAAUGGGCAAGAAGCGAAAGUUGGUCGAUUAAUCCUCUCACUUCAAUGUUCUAGUUUCUCAUACACUAGCCAAAAAAGUUCCAUUAUCCUGUAGGCUGGAUUACCAGAAAGGCCAAUAGCAGGAAGGAGAACCUUGCAAGCCUACAUGAUUAAUUAUGUAGGAGGACCAGAAAACUUGACCACCUCAUUACCUCUUCAGUAUUCAGGCACACAACAAUCAAGUUGAUAAUCUGUUCUCUUAGUGCAAAUAAGAAGAGCUUGGUGUACAUGUUUCACUACCUAAAUAACAGUAGUUCUCGUGUUUAGUAGUUGUGAUGUGGAUUUGUACUGUUUUGGCAAUAUUUUUACACAAGAAAUGCAUUUUAUGAACUUUAAACAUGUUUUGCAAAUACAACUGCUCAAAUUGCUUUUUACUUGAUAAAGCUUGCCUUCGAUUUUUCACCUAAGUAAUAGUCUUCUUCUGUGCAAGUUUCUUCAACUUGACUUCUUAUUUUUGGGUGCAUAGCUGGCCUUCUUAUAUGCUUAUUAUUGCAGCCUAAUUCCUGACUCUCUUUAUUUUCUGCUGCUUUGCUUGAUUCAGUGAAGCAAUUGUUUUGAUUUUUCAUCGUUUUUCCAU